UCUGGUGCCCAUAGCGGAGGGGAAACACCCGGUCCCAUUCCGAACCCGGAAGUUAAGCCCUCCA
rnacentral:rRNA from 1 species